rnacentral:rRNA from 1 species
AUGGUAAACGUACCAAGACGGACAAGAGUCCCUGGAUGGAACUGUUGGAACUGCCGGGGGGUGGGGAACUGCCGGACAGUUCGUGAGGUGUUGGCCCUCGCAAAAACUAACAUCCCCAAGUUUGUCUUUCUAUGUGAGACAAGGCAAACUAAAGAGAAGAUGGAGAAGUUUAGAUGGAGGCUGGGCUUAAAGGGUUUUUGUGGUGUUAGUAGUAAUGGAAGAAGUGGUGGUUUGGCCCUUUUUUGGGGCGAAUCGUUAAUGGUGACUGUAUUGGAUAGUUGUGCAUGCUACAUUGAUGUGCAGGUGACGGACAAUGGUACUGAUGUCAGCUGGCGAGGUAUCUUUAUGUACGGCGAACCACGGGUGGAAAAUCGCCAUUUAAUGUGGGAUCAUCUCUCUCAAUUACGUGCUAUCUCCCAAGGCACGUGGUUUGUUUGUGGAGACUUUAAUGAGGCUAUGUGGUAG